rnacentral:rRNA from 1 species
GACGAACGCUGGCGGCGUGCUUAACACAUGCAAGUCGAGCGAUGAAGUUUCUUCGGAAAUGGAUUAGCGGCGAACGGGUGAGGAACACGUGAAGAAUCUGCCCUCCACUUUGGGAUAACACCGGGAAACCGGUGCUAAUACCGAAUAUUGAAACAUAAGUGGCAUCACUGAGUUUUGAAAGAAUUUCGGUGGAGGAUGACUUCGCGGCCUAUCAGCUAGUUGGUGAGGUAAUGGCUCACCAAGGCAACGACGGGUAGCCGGCCUGAGAGGGCGACCGGCCACACUGGGACUGAGACACGGCCCAGACUCCUACGGGAGGCAGCAGUGGGGAAUAUUGGGCAAUGGAGGAAACUCUGACCCAGCGACGCCGCGUGCGGGAUGAAGGCCUUCGGGUUGUAAACCGCUUUCAGUAGGGAAGAAGCGAAAGUGACGGUACCUACAAAAGAAGCACCGGCUAACUAUGUGCCAGCAGCCGCGGUAAUACGUAGGGUGCAAGCGUUGUCCGGAAUUAUUGGGCGUAAAGAGCUCGUAGGUCGUUUGUUACGUCGGAUGUGAAAACCUGAGGCUCAACCUCAGGCCUGCAUUCGAUACGGGCAAACUAGAGUUUGGUAGGGGAGACUGGAAUUCCUGGUGUAGCGGUGGAAUGCGCAGAUAUCAGGAGGAACACCAAUGGCGAAGGCAGGUCUCUGGGCCAAUACUGACACUGAGGAGCGAAAGUCUGGGGAGCAAACAGGAUUAGAUACCCUGGUAGUCCAGACCGUAAACGGUGGGCACUAGUUGUGGGAACCUUCCACGGUUUCUGCGACGCAGCUAACGCAUUAAGUGCCCCGCCUGGGGAGUACGAUCGCAAGAUUA